rnacentral:lncRNA from 1 species
AUCAUAUGAUAUCUAGUCCACAUUAGAUGUUCCCCAAAAUAUUUGUUUUUGAACCAGGAUUCAGUCAAGGCUCGUGCAUUUCAUUUAGUUAUAUUUCUUUAGUCUCUUAAUGUAAAACUUUCCACCUAUUAUUUUUCCCCUGUGUCAUUGACUUUCUAAAGAGACCAGGCCUGUUCUACCAGGAUUUUUAAAAGGGUGACAUUGCCAGAGGGAAGUUAAUGUUUCUCUGAAGGUAUAUGUACGUUUGUAUAUGUAAGUCGAUGUGGUAGCUAAUACUGUUCUUAAACAUUUAUAAAAAUAAGUUUUGGCAUUAAGUACUAGAGCAUAUAUUGUGUAAAUGUUUCCGCCAGCCAAUGUGGCUGAUAUCUGUUUUAAAGGUCUCAUUUAAAAUUUAGUGUUUUUAGUAUAAGUUACUUUUUGGGGACAUAAAUAUGCAUAUGAUUUGUUUAAAAAUUUGGAUUGUAAAUAAAGGUUUAUCUACCUAUGUGAUUCAGUUAAAUUUUUAGUGUUAGUGGUGUGAAUUUUGUGACACUGGGAGAAAGUUUGCAUAUCAGGUAUGACCUUAGAAAGUAACAAAUAGAUUUGUGCAUUACAUCAAGCAUGUGGAAUGAUAGAUUUGUCCUUCUGUUCAUGAGAGGUCAUUUACAAAUUUAUAAGGAGCUAAACUGACUAAGUACUUGGAAAUCUGUACUUGUAAGCUAAUCACAUUUACCCAAACCUGAUUUAGAAAUAUAGAGGUGCUUUUAGGAAUUGUUUGAAUUUUAAAAAAUCAUCUCCAUUUCAAAUACAACUUAUGAAUUUUGAUAUCCUGUUGUAUAAUACUAGAAAUAUAGAGAUGCAGUAUGCUUCGUGUCUUUCUAGGAAAUUCAGUUCAUGAAGAUAAGAAGUUUCUUGACAAAUACAUGCCCCAGUUCAUGAAACAUCUUCAUUAUAGAAUAAUUGAUGUGAGCACUGUUAAAGAACUGUGCAGACGCUGGUAUCCAGAAGAAUAUGAAUUUGCACCAAAGAAGGCUGCUUCUCAUAGGGCACUUGAUGACAUUAGUGAAAGCAUCAAAGAGCUUCAGUUUUACCGAAAUAACAUCUUCAAG